AAGAAAUAAAAAUUAUGGUGUGAAUAUAAUUACCCUUAUAAUAAAUAUACUUGGCUAAACAAAUUUUCAAAUAUGCCAUCUUAAAUAAUUAGAAAAAAAAAUACAAUUUCUUUUUGUUUUCUCUUACAAUCUUUAGGAUCUUCUAUCAAGGAAUUUUGAAAUUAGGGAUAGAAAGCUCAUUGAUUUACUUCUUGAUCUAUAAAAAGAAGUCACUUCUAUUUCUAUCUAAUGCGGAUAAUAUGUGGCUUUCUAUAACAACUAAUCUACAAAUUUCUCGAUUUUCUAAACAAAUAAUAAUAUAUUUUUUAAAACUUUCU
rnacentral:lncRNA from 1 species